CCUACGGGUGGCAGCAGUCGGGAAUAUUUCACAAUGGAGGAAACUCUGACGGAGUAACGCCGCGUAUAGGAAGAAGUUUUUCGGGAUGUAAACUAUUGUCGUAAGGGAGAAGAAAGAACAGUACCUAAGGAGGAAGCUCCGGCUAACUACGUCCCAGCAGCCGCGGUAAUACGUAGGGAGCGACCGUUAUCCGGAAUUAUGGGGUGUAAAGGGUGCGUAGACGGGAAAACAAGUGAGUUGUGAAAUCCCUCGGCUUAACUGAGGAACUGCAACCAAAACUAUUUUUCUUGAGGGCAGGAGAGGUAAGUGGAAUUCCUAGUGUAGCGGUGAAAUGCGUAGAUAUUAGGAGGAACACCAGUGGCGAAGGCGACUUACUGGACUGGAUCUGACGUUGAGGCACGAAAGUGUGGGGAGCAAACAGGAUUAGAUACCCUUGUAGUC
rnacentral:rRNA from 1 species